GUGUAUCUAAAUGUAUUAAUUCAAACAAAUCUGAAAGUAAUGAUAUACCUUAAUUCAUAGAUUAUAAAUUUAUAAUUAAAAGAUAUAGAAUAUUCUCAAUGAUCUCAUUUCUAAUUAAAAGUUUACUAAUUAUGAAAACACAAAAUGUAUUGCUAUGAAUUUGAUGAUGGUGUAAUUUCAAGAAUUACAAAAGCAUCUUAAAACACAAAAUACAAAUAUAACGUUCAGAAUUAAGAUACAACUUUCAGUGGACUCAACUGACUCUAUAUAAGAAAUUGUCAAGCAAAAAUAAAAACUAGAAGCAAAUGUCAAGAGAAUCAAUUUUAGAAAAUUCUCAAAAUAGAAUGAACAAGAAACCCAAUCAUUAAAAAAAAAACUUGAAAUUAUGAAGACCUGCAUGAGACGCAGAUUAAAAAUCAAU
rnacentral:lncRNA from 1 species